GACGAACGCUGGCGGCGUGCUUAACACAUGCAAGUCGAACGGAAAGGCCCUGCUUGCAGGGUACUCGAGUGGCGAACGGGUGAGUAACACGUGGGUGAUCUGCCCUGCACUUCGGGAUAAGCCUGGGAAACUGGGUCUAAUACCGGAUAGGAGCCAUUUUUAGUGUGAUGGUUGGAAAGUUUUUUCGGUGUAGGAUGAGCUCGCGGCCUAUCAGCUUGUUGGUGGGGUAAUGGCCUACCAAGGCGGCGACGGGUAGCCGGCCUGAGAGGGUGGACGGCCACAUUGGGACUGAGAUACGGCCCAGACUCCUACGGGAGGCAGCAGUGGGGAAGAUUGCACAAGGGGCGCAAGCCUGAUGCAGCGACGCCGCGGGGGGGAUGACGGCCUUCGGGUUGUAAACUCCGUUCGCUAGGGACGAAGCUUUUUGUGACGGUACCUAGAGAAGAAGCACCGGCUAACUACGUG
rnacentral:rRNA from 1 species